GUAAUUUACAAUCUAUAAAUAAUGGUACAAUAAGUAAAUGUGAGAAUAAUUGAAAGGAGGCGGUGAAAAAAGACAAUGAGUAGAAAUUUCACAUUAGAAAUUUCUACGCGGAAGUUAAUUUAGGGGGGGGGGGGGUAUUAAACAUGUUAUGCUAUAUGUGCGUUGAGAAGAUCUUUUGCCAUUCACGUUUGAGGCGUUUGUCUUGGAUGUCCGGAAGAGCAUUGGUAUGGAGUUGAGCAAUGAGGGUAUUUGAAUGAUGUUCCAUAUUGGAGUGGAGUUUAAUUUAUUAUUAAAUAAUAAUAAUAUAAAUAAAUUGUAUAGUUAUGAGAUAAUAUUAUUGACAUUAAACUUAUAGAUCGCC